rnacentral:rRNA from 1 species
UAGGGAAUCUUCGGCAAUGGACGAAAGUCUGACCGAGCAACGCCGCGUGAGUGAAGAAGGUUUUCGGAUCGUAAAACUCUGUUGUUAGAGAAGAACAAGGACGUUAGUAACUGAACGUCCCCUGACGGUAUCUAACCAGAAAGCCACGGCUAACUACGUGCCAGCAGCCGCGGUAAUACGUAGGUGGCAAGCGUUGUCCGGAUUUAUUGGGCGUAAAGCGAGCGCAGGCGGUUUCUUAAGUCUGAUGUGAAAGCCCCCGGCUCAACCGGGGAGGGUCAUUGGAAACAGGAAGACUGGGGUGCAGAAGAGGAGAGUGGAAUUCCAUGUGUAGCGGUGAAAUGCGUAGAUAUAUGGAGGAACACCAGUGGCGAAGGGGGCUCUCUGGUCUGUAACUGACGCUGAGGAUCGAAAGCGUGGGGAGCAAACAGG